UACGUAGGGUGCAAGCGUUGUCCGGAAUUAUUGGGCGUAAAGAGCUCGUAGGCGGCUAGCCGCGUCGGCUGUGAAAACCUGGGGCUCAACCCCGGGCCUGCAGACGAUACGGGCUAGCUAGAAUUCGGUAGGGGAGACUGGAAUUCCUGGUGUAGCGGUGAAAUGCGCAGAUAUCAGGAGGAACACCGGUGGCGAAGGCGGGUCUCUGGGCCGAUAUUGACGCUGAGGAGCGAAAGCGUGGGGAGCGAACAGG
rnacentral:rRNA from 1 species